AAAAUACUUGAUAAAAUGUCUAGUAACUGGGGAGGACAGACACAGCUGUCUCGGAGGGCAGCACAGAGGCUCCAGAUUUAGAGAAAGGGGGCAUCUGUGUGAGCUGGAGAGCUAAGGAAGGCUACAGAAGUCUGACUUGACCCAAACUUUAGAGGCCCCGCUCAAUGUGGCCAGAUCUUGAGUUACAACUGUAAGUCUGGAUGAAGAUGCAUUACAAAGCAAAUAGAGGCUUGACCGUGAGACUACCAUGGAAAAUUUUCAGAGGAACCAAGUGGCUGCAAAAAUCUUACAUAAAAGAGUUAUGAAAUGGCAUGGACCGGAAGGAUGGGAAGACAGUGGAGUAGAAGGACCCUAAGGUCACAUGUCCCAUGGAUACAACUAGAUAACACUCACAUCACUGUGGCUAUGUUCCAAGCAUCAAGCAGCACUUCAGAAAUCCAGUCUCUUUCAAUUUUAUGGCUCCACCAUCAUCAACCUGUAGCUUCACAGGCCAGCAAAUUCAUUUCUGCAUGAGCCUGACAGAAGGGGAAAGAACACAAAGCAUCUUCUAUCAGAAUUUUUUUGUGAACCAGGCCCCAAAAUGUCAUCAAUCACUUUGUCUUGCGUUCCACUGGUCAGAACCCAGUCACAUGGUCACAUAUAACUCUAAGAGAGCCUGGGAAAUGCAAUAUAUAUUUGUGCAAAGGAAGAAGAAACCGGCUUGGUGAACAACUAGACUGCUUCUGCCACUGGAGUGUUUUAUUUUCUAAGAGUGAGCCAAUUAGCUAUGUGAACUUCUGGAGAAUUUAUCCAGAAGAAAGGAGGGGUGGGAGGAAUCAAUUACUGAAAAACUGUAAAAGAACAAUGGAAGACAAAAAUAGUGUUUUGAUUACAUCUCUAAUUUGGGCUUGUUUGAAGCAUAAUUUUCAGCUGUCAAAUGCACACCACCAGGUAAUAUA